CAUGGAUAGUCUGUCUUUAAAACACUUCUAUACUUGGACAAUAAAUUUAUGUACGUAUUAACUAUGCUAGGACCAAUAGAAGAGGUCAUGUUAGCGAAAAUUUAACUUUAUCAAU